AGGAAAGGCAAGGAUAUUUAGCUGAAGCUUACACAUGUCCAGUGCUUUCUAGCCUCUGCUGAAGUAAGGAGAAUUGAUGUUAAGUCUUGAUACAGAAAAAUUCAGUGUGGCAGUGAUGUGCUGCAGGUCCACUCACACUUCGUGAACAGCUUGAAGGGUCAUCGUCUCAUCCCCCUAGCUUCCGUCUUCUUCUUGAUUAAUAAACCUGAUUGUGCUGGAGUGUGCUACAGUAAUCAGCAAUGACACACUGCAAACCAUGAGACACUCCAGGCACAUUGACUUCAUUCAUCUCUCUCUUUUAAAUCUGCCCAGAACCUUUCGUGCAGUUCCUGGGUUCAUCUUUCAUUCUCGAUGUUGGGAAGUAUGCCAGACCUGUUUGGUUCCGCUCUACGAGAUGUAUACUAGAUAAAAUGGGCUUCAGCUGUGCCUUUGAGAGGCUGUGUAUGGAGACGGUGCCGCCUCCGCAGUGCAUUGACAUGCAAACCAGAUCCCACCAGAGACAUGGAGAGAAGUAUCAAACCGAGGACUGACUGAUGGAUGACUAAGAUUUGCUUAAAGUAGGUGCAAGCAAACCUCUUAUUAACUCCUAAACACCGUAGCAUUAAAUACAGAGCUGUCAGAGAGAACAGUGCAAGACUGGAACAGUUUGGAAGAGGAGAGAACCAGCUAAAGAAGGAUAAUUAUAGAAUCUCGUGGCCCAGUGCCAGAGAAAACAUGUUUGUCUUGUGUGCCCCUUUGAGAGGAAGGGAUCCUGAAUGUUUGGAAUAGGAUGGAGAACUGUGGGUUUUUAAACGCUCCUGCCUUAUCAUGUCGGGAAAGAUCAAAACCUCAGGACAGAUGGACAGCCUUUUCCUCACCCCAACAUUUCUCUGCAUAUCAAACACAGGAAGAGCUGAAGAAGAGAAAAUGUCAAGGGGCCAGAGUCUCGUUUGAACCUAACUUCUGUAAUUAUCAAGGCUAAUUUAAGAUGCUAUUUUACAGCGCUUGCCAGAAUGUAAAAUCAGUGUUUAGUGAGGCAAGUGAAAUGUUAAACUAAACGAUACAUUCCCAAGAAAUGGUCACAACAGAAUUUAUUUUUUUAUAAAGAUUAAUAAAUACAAAUAAACUAAUUUUAUGUUA